rnacentral:rRNA from 1 species
CAGUCGCCGCGGGAAUACGUAGGGUGCAAGCGUUAUCCGGAAUUAUUGGGCGUAAAGAGCUCGUAGGCGGUUUGUCGCGUCUGCUGUGAAAACCGGAGGCUCAACCUCCGGCCUGCAGUGGGUACGGGCAAACUAGAGUGCGGUAGGGGAGAUUGGAAUUCCUGGUGUAGCGGUGGAAUGCGCAGAUAUCAGGAGGAACACCGAUGGCGAAGGCAGAUCUCUGGGCCGUAACUGACGCUGAGGAGCGAAAGCAUGGGGAGCGAACAGGAUUAGAUACCCCAGUAGUCCCUGUCUCUUAUAA